rnacentral:rRNA from 1 species
AGAGUUUGAUCCUGGCUCAGAAUGAACGCUGGCGGCAUGGAUUAGGCAUGCAAGUCGCACGCUCACUUCGGUGAGAGUGGCGAAAGGGUGAGUAACGCGUGAGCAACCUACCCCUAAGUUUGGAACAACUGUUGGAAACGACAGCUAAUACCGGAUGUGGUUAUUUUUUCGAUUGUUUAAAUAACUAAAGGUUUACCGCUUAGGGAUGGGCUCGCGUCCCAUUAGUUAGUUGGUGAGGUAAUGGCUCACCAAGACUUUGACGGAUAGGUGGUCUGAGAGGAUGGUCACCCACACUGGGACUGAGAUACUGCCCAGACUCCUGCGGGAGGCUGCAGUCGAGAAUCUUCCGCAAUGCGCGAAAGCGUGACGGAGCAAUGCCGCGUGAAGGAUGAAGGCUUUCGGGUCGUAAACUUCUGUCAAGGGGGACGAAAUUUGACUGUACCCCUAGAGGAAGCCACGGCUAACUACGUGCCAGCAGCCGCGGUAAUACGUAGGUGGCGAGCGUUAUUCGGAUUUACUGGGCGUAAAGGGUUCGUAGGGUGUUAUGUAAGUUUGAUGUGAAAUGCCGCAGCUCAACUGCGGAACUGCAUUGGAAACUGUUUUUCUUGAAUCAGGUAGAGGUAAGUGGAAUUCGUGGUGUAGCGGUGGAAUGCGUAGAUAUCACGAGGAACUCCAAAGGCGAAAGCAGCUUACUGGGCCGAUAUUGACCCUGAGGGACGAAAGCUAAGGUAGCGAAAAGGAUUAGAUACCCUUGUAGUCCUGGCAGUAAACGUUGUACACCAGAUGGUGGGGGAUUCAGCCCCUUCACUGUUCAAGCUAACGCGAUGAGUGUACCGCCUGGGAAGUACGGUCGCAAGACUAAAACUCAAAGGAAUUGACGGGGGCCCGCACAAGCGGUGGAGCAUGUGGUUUAAUUCGAUGCAACGCGAAGAACCUUACCUGGGUUUGACAUAUAUAUGACCGCUCCCGAAAUGGAGUUUCUCUUCGGAGCAUAUAUACAGGUGCUGCAUGGCUGUCGUCAGCUCGUGCCGUGAGGUGUUCGGUUAAGUCCGGCAACGAGCGCAACCCAUAUCUUUAGUUGCUAACAAGUAAUGUUGAGGACUCUAGAGAGACUGCCCGUGUUAAGCGGGAGGAAGGCGUGGACGACGUCAAGUCAGUAUGGCCCUUACACCCAGGGCUGCACACGUGCUACAAUGGUCGAUACAAUGGGCAGCAAUACCGCGAGGUGGAGCUAAUCCUCAAAAUCGACCCCAGUUCGGAUUGGAGUCUGCAACUCGACUCCAUGAAGUCGGAAUCGCUAGUAAAUGCGUAUCAGCUACGACGCAUUGAAUACGUUCCCGGGCCUUGUACACACCGCCCGUCACAUCACGGGAGCUGAAUGCACCCGAAGUCGUUGUACCAACUCGCUUGCGAGAGGAAGGCGUCGAAGGUGUGCUCAGUGACUGGGAUGAAGUCGUAACAAGGUAACC